CUAGCGACUUCAGAGUUUGAUCCUGGCUCAGAACGAACGCUGGCGGCGCGUCUUAAGCAUGCAAGUCGAACGGCAAGAUUAGUGCUUGCACUAAUCCUAGAGUGGCGGACUGGUGAGUAACGCGUGGGUGACGUACCCUUCUGAUGGGGAUAGCUACUAGAAAUAGUAGAUAAUACCGAAUACGAUUCCGUAAGUUAGAGGUGCGGAAUGAAAGGAGCUUCGGCUCCGCGGAAGGAACGGCCCGCGUACCAUUAGCUAGUUGGUGUGGUAACGGCAUACCAAGGCGAUGAUGGUUACCCGGCCUAAGAGGGUGAUCGGGCACAUUGGGACUGAGAUACGGCCCAG
rnacentral:rRNA from 1 species